CUCUUGAUAUAUGACUGUAUGUUAGCAUAAGUUUUUUUACAGAUUUCAUCUGCAAUAUACUUUUUAAGAGGCAAGGCAUAUGAAGCUCUGGAAAAUCGUGCCCAGGCUCGGCAAUGGUAAGUUUCUUAGCUAUAACAUAGGAUGAUGGGAUGAUCAUGCAAUAUUGACACUCAUGUUAUGGGUUAGACUUUAAAAGUAUAAAGAUGCAUCGAUCAUUCUUAAUGCUUGAAAUUAAUGAAGUAGAAAAGUAUAAUGGAUCGUUUGAAACUUCAAUCAUUAUGUUUAGAAUGAAUGAAGCGUAUGAUAUGUUCAGGAGGUCCAUCUGGAAGUAUCUUAAGGCUUGCUUUGGAAACACCAUAAGAAGUUAUAGCAAUUUACUUUUGAUGAUAUGGGUGACAAUGAUAUGAAUGGAAUUUAUCUAAUUUUUUUGAUAACUUCCUAUUAUGGAACCAUUUAGGAUCUUAGGAUGAAAUGUGGGUCUAAAUUGCUAUGUUUGGGUAGGAUUGGUUGGAGGCUAUGACCGGCUUUAAGGAUUUUAUCAUGCCUAUAAAUAGAUUUCAUUUGGGGAGAAGAGUAAUACAUCUGGACAUGGUGGAGAAGAUUAUAAAUAGAAAUAAAAUUGAUAGAAAUUUACCUUUUAUUCUUUGUUGUCUUUCCUAGCUCAUCUCCGUAUUUACUCUUCGUAAUGCUUUAAGGUACAAAUUAAGCUGCUCUCAAAGCUGAUCCUCUGUGUUAUGAGGCACUAGAGUGUCUAAUUGAAAAUCAUAUGCUUACAUGCGAAGGUAAGUUUGACACUACUGGGCUGAUAUCCUCCCUUGUGAGAGCUCAUUAUGCACAUGAUCCAAUCAUUCCUGUGGCAUCAAGAUACUUGCAAAGGAUAGAUGACUGAGGCUUACGGGUGGCCAACCAUCAAGAACCGCUUCAGCCACAGCUGCUUCAGAUCCUACCCACAAAGACACCAAAUAAAUGCACCAAAACAAUGCGCACGGAAAUUCUCGUGCUGGCUUUGACAAAGAGAAGGGUGGCAUUUUGCAUGAGAGCGAUAUUUAUGAUUGAUGAAUUCGCGGUACAAAACUUCAAGUUUCAUUUCAGGGAUCAUGUGACGGAAUUGGAAGGUUUUACAAAUUGCAUUUAGUCUUUGUUUUUCUUCUUUUGUGGUGUUGUUUCUUUUCUACUCCAAAUUGGUACUUACAAACAAUUGACGAGAAAAAAAAAAAUUGCCGUCCAAAAAAAUGGACAAUUGGCGUGAUUUUGGCUUUGGGCAAAUGUUUUGAUUUUGGUU